AUCCAGGGUAAUUCUCUCUUCAAGGUGUCAACUAGUAUCCCUCUCUGGAAAGUAGCAACGUGGAAUAAAUCUGGCAAGCCCAAGAUCUUUGUGAGAGAGGGAAUGUUUUUCCUUUUGCCUUCCUUUGGCUGUCUACAUAU
rnacentral:snoRNA from 1 species